UGGCGCGAUUAGAGGUGAGGGAGAGACCGGAAAACUCUAUUUAUAGCAUCGGAAGAAUCGAGCUCUGAGAGAGCCUUCCUGAGGAACGGUGGCUGCAGAUCCACCCAGGAAUUGAAGUCUACAUCAGACUGAUCUAAACCAUAGGAAACGAAACUUAUGAGACUUUCUCGUUCCUCUGCCUGUCAACGUUUUUCCACCUGCAAAACCUGCAUGCCAACAGGGGCCAAGAGGAUCAGCCCUGCAGCUGGUUUUCAGAGGAAAAGAUAGAGAUGAUCUCUGCCAUACAAACCUUUCAAAGAUGAUGCUGUCCUGGAGGGUAAAUGCUUGUCUCAAGUGCACGAUCUUUCACCCAUCAUAUAAAGUCCCGGAUGCUUCCUGUUUCCAAGGCACUUUGCUCUGGGAGAGCCUCUAUCCCAUUUCUCUAAGUCCAGACUUGAAUAAAGCUGUCUCUCCCACCAACUUCUAUCUCCUGGUUAGUCCAGCCUCCACACCACAUGGCCGUCCACAGGCCCCAUUCUCUUUUUUUUUAUCAUUAUACACACCUAUUUUUAUUCCAAGGGGCACAUGAUUCUUUCAAAAUAAAGUCAGCUUUAUUUCCAAAUAGAAAUCACUAAAUAUUUAUACAUUACUUAUAUAAAUUAUGUGAUGACCUUCAGCAAAUAAAGAUCUAUAAAAUG